rnacentral:rRNA from 2 species
UGGGCACUCUGGCGAGACUGCCGGUGACAAACCGGAGGAAGGUGGGGACGACGUCAAGUCAUCAUGCCCCUUAUGACCUGGGCUACACACGUGCUACAAUGGACGGUACAACGAGUCGCAAGACCGCGAGGUUUAGCUAAUCUCUUAAAGCCGUUCUCAGUUCGGAUUGUAGGCUGCAACUCGCCUACAUGAAGUCGGAAUCGCUAGUAAUCGCGAAUCAGCAUGUCGCGGUGAAUACGUUCCCGGGCCUUGUACACACCGCCCGUCACACCAUGAGAGUUUGUAACACCCAAAGCCGGUGGGGUAACCGCAAGGAGCCAGCCGUCUAAGGUGGGACAGAUGAUUGGGGUGAAGUCGUAACAAGGUAGCCGUAGGAGAACCUGCGGCUGGAUCACCUCCUUUCUAAGGAA